UCUGCAGCAAGCCUGGCUUUUCUGCCUGUGUGGACUGUGUUCUCUCAAUCCUUCGAGGCAGCCGUGUCUCCUCCAGGGUAUCUCAACGAAAUCAGAGCUGGUUGACAAGACAAGAUCCAGGGACCCAUCAGUCUCUGCCCUCCCCUCCCCCACUCCCAUCCUAGGAAUACAGACAUGCAUCACUGUGCCUGAAUUUUAGUGGACGGUAGAAAUCCAGAUCCUCAUGUGCAUGCAUGACAGGCAGGCACUUUACCAACCAAACCAUCUCCCCCAUCCCCUUUUCUAAAUCCACCAAGCAGCCAGAAGUGCACAUUGUACCAUCGAGGAAAUACACCCUUUUCACAGAAUGGACAGGUAGUACCGUAAGGUCCCAGGUCACCAUCUCAUGAAGAACAGUGGAACUGUGAGGGUGACCUUGAGGUAGCACGCUGAAGGACGGUGACUUGUCAUCCAUCCCAGGUGAAUUCUAAUUGGUCUUGGGAUUCAGCCUCUAAAGGACCCUUAAAGACGUCAUUAGCAAGGUGCAAUACAGCCCAAAAAAUCGUGUUACCUGUAUUAAUUUCUCUGACUAAAGAGCAGCAUCUGGUUCAGCAACACAGGUGGGAGGCCCCACACUGCUUAGCUCCCCACACCCACCCCUGC
rnacentral:lncRNA from 1 species